GCAGGGAGUAUCCUGUAAGUAACCAGAGUAGUCCAGACCCACUCCUGAUUAGCCUGUGAUUGGAGGAAAACUUCCUCCCUUUCUGGUAUUCAAAGUGCCCACUAUGUGGCUGGUGCACUUAGCCUGACCUGGGAAGAGAGAGCUGCACAAUAGAAUGGAAAAGAGCACUGAAUCAGGAGUAAAAAGAGCUGGGUGUUGACUUGGUACAUCCACAAACUAGCUGUGUAACCUUGUGGAUGCCGUGAAUGUCUCUGUGCUUCAGCCUCCUCGCCUGCAAGGUAAUGUAACAGUGCUCUAAAAUCCCAAAAUUCUAUGAUUUUUGUUACUCAGCCAUUGUGUCUUUAAUGGUCUUCCUUUCUGAACAGAAGUAUGGCAGAUUCACAUCUUGAAUUAUAUGGUGCCCAACCGUAUUAGUGAUUCUGAUUCCCUGGUGAAUAUGGCAACCAGUGAAUUGGGAAGUGGGGGUGAGUAUCAGCUAAAGAAAUGAAAGCACCAGCCUGGCAGGUAAACAGUUCACAGUCCCCCAGAGAUGGCACAGAAGGGCUGUAGUACUAGGGGAUGGGAGACUUGGCAUCUUAGACAAGUCACUGUUCCUGUCUUGGCCUUGGAAUUUUGAUCUGGAAAAUGGGGAUGGGGAAUUGUGGAUGACUAAAGAUUUCUGAGCUGCCUUCCAGCUCUGCUGUUCUGUGAUGGCCCAUGUGAGUCACAGGUAGGUGCUUCUGUGGUGGCCGGCUGGCCGUUUAUCUGGUGGCCUCCCCUCCUCCCUCCCUGCGGGUGGCCCCUCUCCCACACCCUUUCUAACACACUGGGCAUAACUGCUUUACAGCAUCCAUCUGGCUGCUCUUGGUGUGUCUCUGUGUGAGCAACUUCAGAACAAGACUUCUCAACUUUUAAAAAAAGCCUGAUUAAAAAAUUCUCUGUUGAUUAUUAAACAUGCUCAUUGUAGGGAAAAACAAAAUUCAUAAAGCAGAUAAAGAAUUCUAAUAAAUCUGAGACAUCUACUGUUAGCAUUUUGUUAUCUUUUCUUUUAGUCUCUUCUCU
rnacentral:lncRNA from 10 species